ensembl:lncRNA
AUUCUGAUUAACAGCAGAAGAAUGUCCAGCAGUGAUGAUGCAGAGGUCACGCACAUGUAAAAGGUUUAACUGGUGAACAUGGCCCAGAAAUUUGAAUUAUAACAGACAUGUGAUCAGAAAAGUUUAAACUGCAAAUUUGAAUAUCACAUAAUUACAGAGCACGAGAUAAGACUGAAUCCAAAGUAUGUCCACGCUCAUGGGAGGGGCCGCUGCCUGGUUGAACAAGAUUAAAGUCAGUAAGGUUCAGGAAGUCUUUUACAAGAGGUUUCAAAGCUGCCAUAAAUAUCAGCAGUGAGCAUUUAAAACUGUUAAAAUGGUGAAUUUGAAGUACUGUGGGUGUUGUGCUCCUGGAACCAUGAUUUCCCCAUGGGGACCUCCCCAAGGGAUUAUUGCAACAGAUGGUCGCCCCUCUCCGAGCCUGGUUCUGCUGGAGGUUUCUUCCUGUUAAAAGGCUUUAAACAAGUUUAUUCCUUCUCAUUGUUGCCUGUUUCAGUUUAAAUGUUGUUUUCAAU